rnacentral:rRNA from 1 species
UACGAAGGGGGCUAGCGUUGUUCGGAUUUACUGGGCGUAAAGCGCACGUAGGCGGAUUCUUAAGUCAGGGGUGAAAUCCCGAGGCUCAACCUCGGAACUGCCUUUGAUACUGGGGAUCUCGAGUUCGGGAGAGGUGAGUGGAAUUGCGAGUGUAGAGGUGAAAUUCGUAGAUAUUCGCAAGAACACCAGUGGCGAAGGCGGCUCACUGGUCCGGUACUGACGCUGAGGUGCGAAAGCGUGGGGAGCAAACAGG